GAUUCUGGGCGUAAGCGCACGCAGGCGGUCUGUCAAGUCGGAUGUGAAAUCCCCGGGCUCAACCUGGGAACUGCAUUCGAAACUGGCAGGCUAGAGUCUUGUAGAGGGGGGUAGAAUUCCAGGUGUAGCGGUGAAAUGCGUAGAGAUCUGGAGGAAUACCGGUGGCGAAGGCGGCCCCCUGGACAAAGACUGACGCUCAGGUGCGAAAGCGUGGGGAGCAAACAGGAUUAGAUACCCUGGUAGUCCACGCCGUAAACGAUGUCGACUUGGAGGUUGUGCCCUUGAGGCGUGGCUUCCGGAGCUAACGCGUUAAGUCGACCGCCUGGGGAGUACGGCCGCAAGGUUAAAACUCAAAUGAAUUGACGGGGGCCCGCACAAGCGGUGGAGCAUGUGGUUUAAUUCGAUGCAACGCGAAGAACCUUACCUACUCUUGACAUCCAGAGAACUUUGCAGAGAUGCAUUGGUGCCUUCGGGAACUCUGAGACAGGUGCUGCAUGGCUGUCGUCAGCUCGUGUUGUGAAAUGUUGGGUUAAGUCCCGCAACGAGCGCAACCCUUA
rnacentral:rRNA from 1 species